AUGGGAAAUGAGCUUGACGCUUUCUCAGAGGAGCUUCGACGGCGGCUAGAAGUAAGGAUUAUCAACAAGUAUGCCGUCGUUACGGCGUACGUCAGAAUUACCCUGAAAUCCAUCGGGGCCUUGCUGCUUUUGUGGGCCACCGUGGUCCUACUGGGCGGCUUCGUCUCGUCGAUGAAGAAGGACGAUUUUUGGUCUGUGACCAUCAUCGCAUUCGUGCAGGCUGCCGGGGUAUUCGAAGCAAUCGGAUUUGCUGGCAUGGAUUUAUAUUGGGAGACACAAGAUUUUUAUCAUAACGUUAAAUCUUGGUUACAAAAGUGUUGGUGUGUACUUAACCAGUUGCCUAUGAGACAAUGGUGGAAGAAACAAAUACAAAAGGUCGUGUCAGUUCUAAUAGUUAUCACUCUGUACGUGCGAGCUGUCCUAGUGUUGGGCCUCGCUGUUAGUGGACCAUGUGUUUGCUUACAUGCGUCGAGUCGUGCAACAAAUCAAGACUAUGGCAUCGCGGACGGGGAGGCAAUUAAAGCAAAUAUGAAGCGGGCGCUGAACUUAUUCUACAACGCAGUUUCUGCUCACAGCUUCAUAUCCGUAUUUUGGAUGCCGGCUCAAGCGUUGGCUAAUAAGUUGAUCGAGGAUAUUGUCAGCCGCCAACAUGGUUUCAGCCGCAAGGUAAUUCGUGCAUAUUUGCGCAAAACUAAAGACAUGUGUCUAAAGAACAAAACGUCUGCAACAAGCUGGAAUUUCAUCACAUAUGGUGCCGGCUUGCUGGAUUCCAGCUUACCAGAAGAAUAUGCGGCUGGAGGGAGGGUACUAACUAUGCUGAUUGAUAAGGAUAUACCAUCGCAGGUAAGACGGCUGCUGAUCAGGUCACCCAGACAAAGAAUACAGAAGCUGAUCGACACCCUUGCUUGGAGAAGCCCAGCCGACCAAGAGAUGACAUGGCUUGCAGCGAGAAUUGUGGAGCAUCUCGCUAGCGACCUCAACCUUGCUCACUUUCCAGGAGCAUUGGAAUGCAUAUCCUCCCUCUUCAAUCAAUUACCAGUUGUAUCUGGGCAAGGAACUAAGAACCUGGUAUUGCCAGGCUUGAGAAUUCUUGAGAACCUGGCUCAUGAUGAAGAUAACUGUAGAGCGAUAUACAACAGCAAGGGUCUUCUUUCCAAAAUAGUUGCGCCUCUCCGCUCCAAUGAAUUAGUACAAGAUAUCAAGAGCAGUGCUGCAUGGACCAAGGUAGUACACGGGUCACUGACAGUGGUGACGAAGCUCAUGUCAACUUGUGCAGGAGCCACUGGCAAAGAGAUGCGAGGCCUAAUUGCAGAUGAUAGUCAUGUGGUCGGAAACUUGGAGGCCGUCAUCGAUAUUAAGAGUGACAGCAGUAUCACAAGCCUGCAGGUGGGAGCUUUAACGGUUCUUAUACAAUCAGCAGUGCAUAAUCCAGCAAGUACUUUCACGGAAAGACUUAUUAAGAGGGCACUGCACAUCUUCAUUUCCACGGAUUGGACGGGAGAUUAUUUGAAUCAUGAUAAAAACAGGAUGAAAGAAGCUAAGAGAACUGCAAACCUGCUUAAGCAAAAUGCUGGUGGAGCAUUGGAAAUACUGUCCAGUCAUCCAGAGGCUAUCAAGAGCUUCACAGUAUGCGAUGAUGAUAUCCAUCGUCUUACUGAAUUGCUGGACUGCAAUAUUAAGAGCACUGAAUGCAAAAUAAGUGCAACAGAGACAGUGGAGAUAGAGAUCAGCAUUAGCUGUCGUAUUAGCGCAGCAGUCAUCUUGAAGCAUUUGAGCAAGUACGACAAGGAACCAACCUUACGGAAGGCACUCGAGCAAUUGUUUCCUAUACAACAAGAUGAACCUAUCAAGGACAGGACGCUGCAAGCAUUACUGUUAUCACUCGUCGUGGAGAUUUGUGAGAACAGCAAUAUUGAUCUUGCAGUAAUCUUACUUCAGCAGACGCCGUCGGAUUCCCUGGAAGACUUUGUGGUGAGUCUCAAGAAGAUGGUGGAGGACAACAUGUACGGCCCCGGUGAGUGCCUGGCGAUACAUAAACUCAGCUGCAGGAUGGUUACAGAACUCAUGAAGCAUGAUCGAAACAUCCAAGUGAUCGACAAGCGUAAUAUCGUUGGCACAUUAUUGGAGGCUUCAAAGGCAAUGGCCGAGCUUGAGAGCAGCAUGCUUUUUUCUGGGUUCAAUCAUUAUGACCGCUACGGGGUUCCUCUGAAGCCUCUUUUAUCUGUUCUCUCCAAAAAUACAGAAGAUCUUUUGACACAGAAGAAACAGGCCCUGGGCAUCUACACUGUGCCUGCCUCUGUACCAAUACCACUACCAUGA
rnacentral:rRNA from 1 species